rnacentral:rRNA from 1 species
AUUGAACGCUGGCGGCAGGCUUAAUACAUGCAAGUCGAGGGGCAGCAUGAUUGUAGCAAUACAAUUGAUGGCGACCGGCAAACGGGUGCGGAACACGUACACAACCUUCCAACAAAUGGGGGAUAGCCCAGAGAAAUUUGGAUUAAUACCCCGUAACAUAGCGAUGUGGCAUCACAUUGCUAUUAUAGAUUUUUCGCUUGUUGAUGGGUGUGCGGCUGAUUAGAUAGUUGGCGGGGUAACGGCCCACCAAGUCUACGAUCAGUAGCUGAUGUGAGAGCAUGAUCAGCCGCACGGGCACUGAGACACGGGCCCGACUCCUACGGGAGGCAGCAGUAAGGAAUAUUGGACAAUGGACGCAAGUCUGAUCCAGCCAUGCCGCGUGAAGGAUUAAGGUCCUCUGGAUUGUAAACUUCUUUUAUAAUGGACGAAAAAAGGCUUUUCUAAGUCGUCUGACGGUACCUUAUGAAUAAGCACCGGCUAACUCCGUGCCAGCCGCCGCCGUAAUAC